GACGAACGCUGGCGGCGUGCUUAACACAUGCAAGUCGAGCGGUAAGGCCCUUUCGGGGUACGACGAGCGGCGAACGGGUGAGUAACACGUGGGUGACCUGCCCUUACGCUCUGGGAGUAAGCCUGGGAAACGUGGGUCGUAAUACCGGAUAUGACUCCAUAACGCAUGUUGUGGGGUGGAAAGCCUUGUGCGGCUAGGGAUGGGCCCGCGGCCUAUCAGCUUGUUGGUGGGGUGAUGGCCACCAA
rnacentral:rRNA from 1 species